rnacentral:rRNA from 1 species
UACGUAGGGUGCAGGCGUUAAUCGGAAUUACUGGGCGUAAAGCGUGCGCAGGCGGUUUGCUAAGAGAGAUGUGAAAUCCCCGGGCUCAACCUGGGACCUGCAUUUGUGACUGCAUCGCUAGAGUACGGCAGAGGGGGAUGGAAUUCCGCGUGUAGCAGUGAAAUGCGUAGAUAUGCGGAGGAACACCGAUGGCGAAGGCAAUCCCCUGGGCCUGUACUGACGCUCAUGCACGAAAGCGUGGGGAGCAAACAGG